GUACCAUGCAGUCGAGCGCACUCUUCGGAGUGAGCGGCGGACGGGUUAGUAACGCGUGGGAACGUGCCCUUCUCUAAGGAAUAGCCACUGGAAACGGUGAGUAAUACCUUAUACGCCCUUCGGGGGAAAGAUUUAUCGGAGAAGGAUCGGCCCGCGUUAGAUUAGAUAGUUGGUGGGGUAAUGGCCUACCAAGUCUACGAUCUAUAGCUGGUUUUAGAGGAUGAUCAGCAACACUGGGACUGAGACACGGCCCAGACUCCUACGGGAGGCAGCAGUGGGGAAUCUUGGACAAUGGGCGCAAGCCUGAUCCAGCCAUGCCGCGUGAGUGAUGAAGGCCUUAGGGUCGUAAAGCUCUUUCGCCAGAGAUGAUAAUGACAGUAUCUGGUAAAGAAACCCCGGCUAACUCCGUGCCAGCAGCCGCGGUAAUACGGAGGGGGUUAGCGUUGUUCGGAAUUACUGGGCGUAAAGCGCACGUAGGCGGAUCAGAAAGUAUAGGGUGAAAUCCCAGGGCUCAACCCUGGAACUGCCUUGUAAACUCCUGGUCUUGAGUUCGAGAGAGGUGAGUGGAAUUCCGAGUGUAGAGGUGAAAUUCGUAGAUAUUCGGAGGAACACCAGUGGCGAAGGCGGCUCACUGGCUCGAUACUGACGCUGAGGUGCGAAAGUGUGGGGAGCAAACAGGAUUAGAUACCCUGGUAGUCCACACCG
rnacentral:rRNA from 1 species